UACGGAGUGUGCAAGCGUUACUCGGAAUCACUGGGCAUAAAGCGCGCGUAGGCGGGCUUUCAAGUCGGUUGGUGAAAUCCCCUCAGCUCAACUGAGGAACUGCAUCCGAUACUGUUUGUCUUGAGGACGAGAGGGGAGAGUGGAACUUCUGGUGGAGCGGUGAAAUGCGUAGAUAUCAGAAGGGAACGCCGGUGGGCGAAAGGCGGGUCUCUGGGCCGAUAACUGCGCUGGAGGAAGCGAAAGCGUGGGGGAGCGAAACAGG
rnacentral:rRNA from 1 species